rnacentral:rRNA from 1 species
AGAGUUUGAUCCUGGCUCAGGACGAACGCUGGCGGCGUGCCUAAUACAUGCAAGUCGAGCGGACCCUUCGGGGUUAGCGGCGGACGGGUGAGUAACACGUAGGCAACCUGCCUGUAAGACUGGGAUAACUUCGGGAAACCGGAGCUAAUACCGGAUAAUUCUUUUCCUCACAUGAGGAAAAGCUGAAAGACGGCGCAAGC